AAAUGGCUGGGAGGGGGAUGGGGAUGUUGAAUUUGGAAAUUGGAGGGGACGCUGGUGGACGGAUUGGGUGCAAGGAGUUGGUGUUGAUGGAGGAGCAGGACGCCAGAGUCCCAGCCCUGGAACCGUUCAGAGUGGAGCAGGCACCACCUGUAAUCUACUAUGUCCCUGACUUCAUCUCCAAAGAAGAGGAGGAGUAUUUGCUUCGACAGGUUUUUAAUGCCCCAAAGCCAAAGUGGACCCAGCUCUCUGGGAGAAAGUUACAGAACUGGGGGGAGCCCUCAGGACACCAUUGCCUUCCCCAGGUGGGCUUCCUCAUCCCCGAGGGAUGGUUCCUGAGCGGCUGCCCCCAUGGCUGCAGCGCUACGUGGACAAAGUGUCAAACCUCAGCCUCUUUGGAGGUCUCCCAGCUAACCAUGUCCUCGUGAACCAGUAUCUGCCUGGGGAGGGCAUCAUGGUAACCACACACCCUUGGCCUGUGUCCCCCCACUCAGACUUCUGAGCUGUGCUGGGGCAGGGGACUCUGUACCCACCCUCACUCAUUAGGCAGCCACAUCUCCCAAACAGGCAUUCACCUCCCUGUCCCUGGCUUGGGAAGCCCCCCUUUGACCCA
rnacentral:sRNA from 1 species